rnacentral:misc_RNA from 1 species
GGGCCCGCCCACCUGUGUAUGCUUUGGGGGCAGAUGCAUUACACACACACACACACACACACAAACACAGACGCCCAUACAUACAUGCGCGCGUACACAGUUACAUGAUCUUAGAUAUCGGACUAGAAUCUCACAGCCGCCGUUGCCGGGACUAAUACUACGGCUAGAGGUGGUGCUCACGAACACAGACUCAAGCAAGCUCCGCUUGCACGCUUGCCGUCUUCAAGUCAUGUCGACAGCCGGUCUCUCACGUGCGUACGCGGUGCUGCGCCAACUCGAUGUCCUGCGUGCCGAGAGCAUCACCAAUCCGCUGCCCAUGUCCGGCGACCGCCGCGCCCGUGUGCGAAGCGAAGAGCGAGGCGGAAGUGAGGUGGGGCGGUCGCUGUUUCGAUCGCGAGAGGAGUCGGCCGUGCGCGGCGUACGUCUGCAGGGAUACCGAACACCACCACCACCCACAGACAGGAGAGGGCGGCGUAGCGGUCGCGGAGGCGUUAUCUGGGAGAAUUCGAUAGACGUAGGUGCGACACAGGUGUCGCCCUCCCGCCUUGCCGGGGCGACUGACCACCGUGGCUACUCCUCAAAGCACCCGCACACUUACGCACCCGUGCGCUCACACCUCAUCCCUGCAUCCCCCACUCACGACGAGCCCCAGGCGGAGGCAUCGCGGCCGGCAGCCGCUGAGAGAGAUCGCCACGCCGCAGCUGCCACCACCAGUGCUGGCUUUCAGUCUCACCGCUCUCCACUCUCUGGCGAGUACGCGCUGGACGACCGCUACGACCACCAUGCGGCGCCGCCGCCGCCGCCGAGUCACGGCAGCGGUGCCUCUCCGUUGCUUUUCUCGUCAUCGAACUCCCCUCUCUCACAUCACCGGUACAACAGGCGAGUCGCAAGAGAAGAACGACCACUGCGCCGCUCGUCGUCGGCGCGCGUGGCAGUGCCGUCGCCCGUUGUGCUGCCCUCCUCUUUCACGAGCGAGGCAGCGCACAUGGCUGCUGCCCAGACGUCUUCGCUGCUGGAGGUGUACUUUGACAAGGACGACAUGCACGCAGUUCUAGACAGCGUGGCCGCUGCCACUGCUGCUGCUAAGUCUCCAGCGCAGCCUGGUACAGAGGCUGCUGGUGAGGCGGACACUGCGUGUUGCAAACACACGCGCACGGCUCGUGGCACUCAUCGCGGCCAUGGAGCGGCAGCGGAUUUCGCACAUAGUCUCGGCGCUUCCGUCGAUGCUUCAGCGACGACUGAGGCUGCCGUCACGCCGUCGUCACUCAGCAACUCUUCCCUGAUGGCGAUGCCAGGCGGAGAUGCGCAGUCUGCAAGCGACACCUCCCUUGUCGCCGCAGCCGAUGACGGGCGACACCCACUUUGGCAGCUAUCCAUGUCAAGGAACGACGUGGGCGACAAGCAACACCGCUGCCGCUCAGCAGCCGUUGCUUCUGCGGCGUCCCUGUCCACGCGCGUGAAGGAUGUCUCCAUCACCCCCAGCGUGGAGCGUCUCCUGGCCGCGCUACACCAAAGAUCGCGGUCCGUUGGGCAGCAGCAUCAGCAGCUGCAGCGAGAAGCAGCAGCCUCUGUAACUGCGGCGUUUCAGCGUCCUCUAUCCUCCCCUCCGCCGCCCGGCGACUUGUCGUUCUUCUACACCGCUGCCGGCUGCAGUGUGCGCGCGGAGGGUGGAGGUAACGCGUACGCGGCAGAGGCACCGCAACACCAACAGGAAGAGGCGUGCAUCUCUUUGAGCAGACACUGCCGCUUGCCACCGCACGGGAUAUCGUCCCCGUGUGGUGCAGUCGACGCCGAACCAUCCUCGCUUCCAGCUCUCGCGGAUCGCAUGAGCGAGGGAGUCGGAGAUGAUGGGAGCGGUGGCGCUGGCGAGAGUGAGGCCGGCAGCCCUUUGGGCCUCCAUGGCCUCUCCGAAGGCAGGACUGAAGAGGGGCGCAUUGACCAAGACGCGCACCAAAGAGAAGACAAGUCGCUCCCCCUGCGUGCCCUCCUCGGUGCCGCCGGGGAGAGGCCAGUGCAGAGGGCCGCUGUCGACGACGGCCAUCAGCGCCGUGGCACACACAGGCCGUCGCAGAACGACUCGAGAGGGCAGGGCGUCGCAUGCGGUGAACGUCGUCGCGUAAUGCCGCUGCUCCCUGCCGCGUACACGAAGGCGGUGCCCUUUCUCGACUACCUGGCGCGCGUCAACGCCGCCAGCUCACACCAGCUGCUCAAGGAGUUGGCUGCCAUGGGCGACGCUUGGGCCACCACCACACAGGCAGAGGACGCCGCCAGGGCUGGAGGUGAGCAUCCUGAGGUCACCGAGCCGGUUGUGGUCGACUGCCUUGCCAUGGACCUGCUCCUCAACAAACCUGACGCACUUGAGUACAUUGUAGUGCCUUGGCUGCGCACGCGUCUGGAGUCGAUGAUGGCGACUCAUUCGGCAGACAGGAUGAACUCCAGUGCCCGAAAGCAUCGCGGCCGAGGCAAGGCCGUCGCUGCCAACCCACUUCGCCGCACGGGGGAGUCGGAGGCGGAAGGCGUCGACGAGGGGGAUGCUGCGGCGAACAACAGCGUGCUGUGCGCCGUCAUCGGCCUCGGCCCCGUCGCUUUCACGCUCCUCCCCACCCUCCUACAGCUACUUAUCUGGCUGCCUCCGCCGUCGCCAACGUCAAUGUGCGAUGUGCGCCUUGUUGGGCUGGCGAUACGCACCGCGGGCGGCGCAGAUGGACUAGAGGCUGUGAUUCGCAUAGUGCAACAGCAGGCAGAGGGACCGCACGUUCUGGCUGCAGCGGCGUACGCACUCGGCACCUACAGCUUCGAGCUCGUCGGCCACACGAGCGUCUUGUGCGUGCCAGCUGGCGCGAUGCGUCGGCCUGAUGCGAAGGGAGGCGCAGACUCGCUUUUCCAGCUUGCGCCGGAUGACCUUUCCGCCUCUCCCGCGGACUCGCUCUCGGCGUCGCCGAUGAUGGAGGAGCUGCGGCCGCUCUUUGGCCGCGACCCUCUAUUGUUUUCUCCCACUGCGACGACAGCAGCGCCGACGGGGCGGCAUCUCCUCUACCUCCAGUCACCACCACCAUACCGGCCCACUCACGUGAUGGUAGACGCGGAGCUCGCACGAUGCGAGUUACUGGCAUACCUCCGCUCCGACCAGUUUCGCGUGACGCACGCGCAUCCGUACGUUAUGGCGUUACUGAAUGAUGCUCUGAGCGCACGGUUGCUGAGCGCCGUCGUGACGCCGGCCGCGCAGAGUCUGUACUCGCCCACCAUAUCGCGGCUGCGCCGCGACCUGCACCGGGUACUGGCUGAAGGUGCCGCCGGCACCGCCCCACACCAACGAGGCAAUGACGACGGCAGUGACGUCGAUGAAAAGGGGGCAGCUGCGCACGCGCUGCUGCGGCUUCCGCUUCUCCCGUACUCCCUUGAUCGUUUCUUUGCAGAGGAAAAGGAUAUGCUUUUCGCAUUGGAGUCGGCGCUUGUGCACGCCCUCUUGGCGCCCUCCGCGACGCCGCUGGUGCAGGAGCAGGCACUCAUGUCGCUGAGCACGCUGCCUCCGGUGGCCCGCGUGCACGUGGUGCAGCCCGUGACGGACUUCUUUAUAAGGUCGGCACGCACGCUGCAGCUACGACAGGCGACCACGAUGCGACGCUCUGUCGCCCAGGCUGGCCGCACUGACCCUCCGGCAACCGGCCGUGGCCCGCGCAAUGGAGCCAGAGAGGCUGAUGCCGACGACAAUGUCACCGUCGCAGCGGCCAUCGCUGCUGGCACUGUAUGCGUGAACCCCCUCGCCCCGAGCUCGUGUGUAGACAGCUGCGUUGCGUCCCUUGUUCCCGUCUUCCAGGAGCUGCUUUACUCGCCGCUAUGGCGGGUGCGGCACGCGGCGUGUGUGGGGCUCGCGUGCGUUGGCCCGUUGACGGCAGACCCAUCCUCUAUCGUGGACUUCCUGCUCACUUGCCUUGUGCUCCACGCCCCUUUGGUGACGGAGGAGAGCGGCUCAAGCCAGGCGCCGUCUGCCGCCGCCACACGGUCACCAGAGCUGCCGUUGCAGUCUGCCACUGUCGUGUGGUGUCUUGCGCAGCAGCGGCAGGGCGGUGCGCGGGCACUGUUGCAGCUGCUGCAGGACCCCCAGCAGCCUUCGCAAGUGCACCAUUGGUGCGCCUUCCAGCUCGCCGAGGUGGACGUGCGCGAGGCAUGCGCUAAGCUAAACAGGGGCAAGUUCCCUGAAGCCGACGCGCUGCUGGAUGAGAUGGUGCAGGUGCUGAGCAGGCUCAUCGUGACGCAGGGUGCCUUGGAAGAGGACACCGUACUGCUGUGUGUGCGCGCGUUGGCGGAGGUGGUGUACCGACACUACGUAAAUGCGAGAACGCCGGCCAGCACUGCUGCUGCGAUGGACGCUGUCCUUUCCCUCGACACGGCUCUGCCGGCGCAGGAGGCUGCCACCUGCUGCCAGGAGGAGGAGCCUAAUGCCUGCUACAUUGUCCUCACGUCGGUGCUGGAGUCGGCGUUGCUGCCCACCAAUGUCCUCAAGGCGCUGUGCCUGUACCUCUGCCGGUACGGCGGUGGCCACGGGGAGCUGUACGCAUGCAAGGCGCUGCUCCAGAGCAGCUCCGUCGCCGUUCGUACCGCCGCCGCAUUUGGGCUGCGGGCCUGCGGCGCUAAGGUCCUGCGUAGCGUUGUGCUGGGCAUGAACGACGAUAGCUUCGACGUGCGGCGGGAGUCCUUCGAGACACUGACUGCCAUCGGUGCAGCUGCGGCGCUGGAGGUGCUGCAUCAGCGACCGGCAGAGCACCGAUAUCAAGUGCAAGCCGCACUACGCGAUUGCUUGCUGCAGGACGCUAGCCGCCCCGUGCCACGCAAGGCCGCCGAGACUCUGUAUUGUGCACUUGUGAGCGAGGAGCCGCUCGCGGCGCAGGAGCUGUCGUAGCCACAACAUCUGCAGCGUAGAAAUAAUACGGAGAGAGAGCCCUUUAUGGGAGAAUAGGCAGGGCCAGUGGUUGUGGUGGCCGGCGCGCGCGUAUAGGUACGUCUAUGGGUCGUGUGACGUGUGGUGAAUGGGCUUCAGCGUUCGCCUCGCCGCCCAGCAGCGAAAACGCAGCAUCUGCUGGGCCGUCUCCCUUCUGCUUCCCUUGCGAAGCUCGCACACGCCUCAGCCCCUUCCCAAACCCUUUCCCUCCGCGCCUCUUCGCCCACCGCGCCCCGGAAAUCCACCUCACGACCGCCUCUGUGCCUUUGCACGGCCCCCACUCGCUGAGCCUUCGGUUAUGCUAUAUACACAAAUGCGUUUAUCUGUAUGUGUAAUGCGCGGCGCUCCCAGUCGUCUGCUACCCCGAUCGCACCCUCCCCCCGACCUCCCCGAUCGUCCUCUGCUCCAAGAAUUUCCGGGCUCCUUGCUUUCUUCCGCAUUGCUGUCUUGCGCUCCACUCCACAUACGCACACGCCGAUGCCCCUGCGCAGAGGAAACGUUGAGUGGACGUGUACAUCGAUAUCCCGAACGCCUGUGUGCGCCUCUAUCCCUGUUUUCUCUCUGGCCUUCUCGCUGUUCCUGCUCUUCU